rnacentral:rRNA from 1 species
CACGUAGGGCGCAAGCGUUGUCCGGAAUUAUUGGGCGUAAAGAGCUCGUAGGCGGUCUGUUGCGUCUGCUGUGAAAACUCGGGGCUUAACCCCGAGCCUGCAGUGGAUACGGGCAGACUAGAGGUAGGUAGGGGAGAAUGGAAUUCCCGGUGUAGCGGUGAAAUGCGCAGAUAUCGGGAGGAACACCGAUGGCGAAGACAGGUCUCUGGGCAUUAACUGACGCUGAGGAGCGAAAGCAUGGGGAGCGAACAGG